UAGUCAGUAAAUGGGCUUGUUUUGCGCAAUAGAUGUUCGUGUGCGCAAAACCCCAUUUACUAACGUGUUAGCAACAAGAUUUUAUCUACUGUUAGUUGAAAUAUUCAUAAUUUGCAAGCAAAACACAUCAACACAAAAUCCUGCUACAUAUGAUCGUUGUAGGAUUCUGUUAAUUGCGUGCGCAUAAGUUGCUAUAUUGGUUAUAUGCAUAAAGCAUAUAACUAAAUAUAUAAACUUAUGCGCACGGAAAUUUUAGUGCGUAAAUUGACUGUCUUUGCUAACUAGAUUCACGCUGAGAAUUAUGAAUUUUUUCAACUUACAGUAGAUAAAUUUUUUUUAUGGAAAUCGGAUGACCGACUCGUGAGUUAGAC